GACAGAGGUCCCAAGCGUUAUGCGGAAUCACUGGGCUUAAAGCGUGUGUAGGCGGAUCGUUAAGUGUCUUGUGAAAUCCCACGGCUCACCCGUGGAACUGCUGGGCAUACUGGCGAUCUUGGGCCAACUAGGGGCAGUCGGAACAAGCGGUGGAGCGGUGAAAUGCGUAGAUAUCGCUUGGAACGCCGAAGGUGAAAACAGACUGCUGGGGUUGCGCCGACGCUGAGACACGAAAGCCAGGGGAGCAAACGGG
rnacentral:rRNA from 1 species